rnacentral:rRNA from 1 species
CCCUUAGAUGUCCUGGGCCGCACGCGCGCUACACUGAUGCAUUCAACGAGUUUCACCUUGGCCGAGAGGCCUGGGCAAUCUUUUAAACCUGCAUCGUGAUAGGGAUAGAUUAUUGCAAUUGUUAAUCUUGAACGAGGAAUUCCUAGUAAACGCAAAUCAUCAAUUUGCAUUGAUUACGUCCCCGCCCUUUGUACACACCGCCCGUCGCACCUACCGAUUGAAUGGUCCGGUGAAGCCUCGGGAUUGUGGCCAGUUCACUUUAUUGGGAGUUGGCUGUGAGAACUUGUCUAAACCUUAUCAUUUAGAGGAAGGUGAAGUCGUAACA